rnacentral:rRNA from 1 species
UACGGGGGGGGCAAGCGUUGUUCGGAAUUACUGGGCGUAAAGGGCUCGUAGGUGGCCAACUAAGUCGGACGUGAAAUCCCUCGGCUUAACCGGGGAACUGCGUCCGAUACUGGUUGGCUUGAGUUUGGGAGAGGGAUGCGGAAUUCCAGGUGUAGCGGUGAAAUGCGUAGAUAUCUGGAGGAAUACCGGUGGCGAAGGCGGCAUCCUGGACCGAGAUUGACACUGAUGAGCGAAAGCUAGGGGAGCAAACGGG